rnacentral:rRNA from 1 species
CAGCAGCCGCGGGAAUACAGAGGGUGCGAGCGUUAAUCGGAUUUACUGGGCGUAAAGCGUGCGUAGGCGGCUUCUUAAGUCGGAUGUGAAAUCCCUGAGCUUAACUUAGGAAUUGCAUUCGAUACUGGGAAGCUAGAGUAUGGGAGAGGAUGGUAGAAUUCCAGGUGUAGCGGUGAAAUGCGUAGAGAUCUGGAGGAAUACCGAUGGCGAAGGCAGCCAUCUGGCCUAAUACUGACGCUGAGGUACGAAAGCAUGGGGAGCAAACAGGAUUAGAUACCCCGGUAGUCCCUGUCUCUUAUACACA